GCUAGGACUAUAGGCACCUAUCACAGCAUCCCUUUUUAGAUACGAGGUCUCGAUCCUGCUCAUCUCAGGCGGGUCUCAAACCUGCGCGCUCAGGUAAUCCCCCCACCUCGGCCUCCCAGAGUACUGGGACUGCAGGCGAGAGCCACCGCGCCCGGCCUCCUUCUUUGCACUCUCAAAUCACUUUUCCAGUGUGGUUUGAGAAUUAGAGAACUUCGUCGGUGUCAGAAGCCCUCUUCAUUCCACAUAAUAUUUUUUGACAGAAGGAAAUGUAAGAUGUUGUGGUUGGUUUGGUGAUAAACCUGGAAUAAAGUGAGUUUGGAGCUGUGUAGAUGUGGGCCUGGAAGCAGAUUCCAGCAGGAUGAAGAACAGUGGGGUUCUCGGAAAGCCCAUUUCUCUAUCCCUUUUGGUGAGAGCUGGCAAUAUUAUUUUGGGACAUCAAGCAUGAACAGAGUCGCCGAAUCAGAAUGACUCCACAGAUAGGGGAGCUGUACAUCACCGCACCCACUGUCCAGGAAUCCGGGGAGGAGGUGCCCCGGAUUGAAGCAUGGGCCACACACCCGGCUGGCAGCCAGGGCAGACGCACACUGUGCAGGCAUCUUACCUUGGAAACAGCCCGCCUGGCUUCCAUGCCGUCUUUGAAUCUGAGAUAGUCCUAGUUUCAGCCUGUCCUCAAUAGAGACCAGCGGGCCAGGCUCGUGCCUUCAAGAAGUCUCUGUAAAGCCUGUGGAGUGGCGAGCUCCUCCAGAAGUAAAUGAGACUGUGUCAGCUGUACGUGACGGGACUGCACGGCCAAGUGACUCAUGAAGAUUUUUCAAGAAAGAAUGGGGAAAAAAAAAAAAAAA